AGUGAACGCUGGCGGUAGGCCUAACACAUGCAAGUCGAACGGCAGCACAGUAAGAGCUUGCUCUUACGGGUGGCGAGUGGCGGACGGGUGAGGAAUACGUCGGAAUCUACUUUUUCGUGGGGGAUAACGUAGGGAAACUUACGCUAAUACCGCAUACGACCUACGGGUGAAAGCAGGGGAUCUUCGGACCUUGCGCGAUUGAAUGAGCCGAUGUCGGAUUAGCUGGUUGGCGGGGUAAAGGCCCACCAAGGCGACGAUCCGUAGCUGGUCUGAGAGGAUGAUCAGCCACACUGGAACUGAGACACGGUCCAGACUCCUACGGGAGGCAGCAGUGGGGAAUAUUGGACAAUGGGCGCAAGCCUGAUCCAACCAUACCGCGUGGGUGAAGAAGGCCUUCGGGUUGUAAAGCCCUUUUGUUGGGAAAGAAAAGCAGCAGGUUAAUACCCCGCUGUUCUGACGGUACCCAAAGAAUAAGCACCGGCUAACUUCGUG
rnacentral:rRNA from 1 species